rnacentral:rRNA from 1 species
AUUGAACGCUGGCGGUAUGCUUAACACAUGCAAGUCGAACGGUAGCAGGCCUUCGGGCGCUGACGAGUGGCGGACGGGUGAGUAACGCGUAGGAAUCUGCCUCAUAGUGGGGGACAACGUGUGGAAACGCACGCUAAUACCGUAUACGCCCUACGGGGGAAAGCGGGGGACCUUCGGGCCUCGCGCUAUGAGAUGAGCCUGCGUUAGAUUAGCUAGUUGGUAGGGUAAAGGCCUACCAAGGCGACGAUCUAUAGCUGGUCUGAGAGGACGAUCAGCCACACUGGGACUGAGACACGGCCCAGACUCCUACGGGAGGCAGCAGUGGGGAAUAUUGGACAAUGGGCGCAAGCCUGAUCCAGCAAUACCGCGUGUGUGAAGAAGGCCCUAGGGUUGUAAAGCACUUUCAAUAGGGAGGAAAACCUGUCGGUCAAUACCCGGCAGCUUGACAUUACCUAUACAAGAAGCACCGGCUAACUCCGUGCCAGCCGCCGCCGUAA